GCAAAAUGGAUCCGUAACUUUGGGGUAAGGAUUGGCUUCGGGCGAAGUCUCGAGGCAAAAGAUAUGAAGCUAUGA
rnacentral:rRNA from 15 species